UCGAGAAUUUUUCUCAAUGGGCGAAAGCCUGAAGGAGCGACGCCGCGUGGGGGAUGAAUGGCUUCGGCCCGUAAACCCCUGUCAUUUGUGAACAAAUUAAUUCACCCAACACGUGGAUUAUUGAUAGUAACGGAAGAGGAAGGGACGGCUAACUCUGUGCCAGCAGCCGCGGUAAUACAGAGGUCCCAAGCGUUGUUCGGAUUCACUGGGCGUAAAGGGUGCGUAGGCGGUUUGACAAGUCUGAUGUGAAAUCCCGCAGCUUAACUGCGGAACUGCAUUGGAAACUGUCUGACUAGAGGAAUGGAGGGGAGACUGGAAUACUUGGUGUAGCAGUGAAAUGCGUAGAUAUCAAGUGGAACACCAGUGGCGAAGGCGAGUCUCUGGACAUUUCCUGACGCUGAGGCACGAAAGCCAGGGGAGCAAACGGGAUUAGAUACCCCUGUAGUCC
rnacentral:rRNA from 1 species